GACGAACGCUGGCGGCGUGCUUAACACAUGCAAGUCGAAUGGUAAGGCCGCUUCGGGGGUACACGAGUGGCGAACGGGUGAUUAACACGUGAGUAACCGGCACUUGACUCUGGGAUAAAAUCUGGAAACAGGUGCUAAUACCGGAUAUGAGCUCGUCCUGCAUGGGAUGGGUUGGAAAGCUCCGGCGGUCAUGGAUGGACUCGCGGCCUAUCAGCUUGUUGGUGAGGUAAGGGCUCACCAAGGCUUCGACGGGUAGCCGGCCUGAGAGGGCGACCGGCCACAUUGGGACUGAGAUACGGCCCAAACUCCUACGGGAGGCAGCAGUGGGGAAUAUUGCACAAUGGGCGGAAGCCUGAUGCAGCAACGCCGCGUGCGGGAUGACGGCCUUCGGGUUGUAAACCGCUUUCAGCAGGGACGAAGCGUGAGUGACGGUACCUGCAGAAGAAUCACCGGCUAACUACGUGCCAGCAGCCGCGGUAAUAC
rnacentral:rRNA from 1 species